rnacentral:rRNA from 1 species
UACGUAGGGGGCAAGCGUUGUCCGGAAUCAUUGGGCGUAAAGCGCGUGUAGGCGGCUCGGUAAGUCCGCUCUGAAAGUCCAGGGCUCAACCCUGGGAUGCGGGUGGAUACUGCCGGGCUCGAGUCCGGAAGAGGCGAGUGGAAUUCCCGGUGUAGCGGUGAAAUGCGCAGAUAUCGGGAGGAACACCGAUGGCGAAGGCGUAGCUGGCC